AUAAAUACAAUUUUUGUUUUACUUUUAUCUUUUUACUAGAUAGUAGGUAUGUAUUGUUAUUAGUCAUUUAUAAUUGUGGUGGUUUUCUUGCUUAUAGAAAAUUAUAAGUGAUACGGCGACAUCCGAUAGUCCACAUUAUCAUAAUAAAAAUUUUAUUUUCGUAUGCCCUUAUAAAAAUUAUUUUCCAUUUACGGCCAUUUGUAGGCUGUUCGGGCCAUUCGUAAUGCGAAAUGCACGUGUAUUAUCGAUCAAUCUAUGGUGAUAGAUCUCGCACUUUAUUAGUAAAACAAAUUAGGAAAGCCAUUUCCGGGAGUCAAUAACCUCUUAUUAUAGUAUGCUUAUGUAUAGAAAUUUAAUAAAUUAAAUAGCUUUAUUUGUAAAUAGUUAACCCUAUUUAGAUUCUGAACGAAACAAGGAAUGUUUUGGUACUACUGUUUUUUAGAUUACGAGCGU